UGGGGAAUUUUGGACAAUGGGCGAAAGCCUGAUCCAGCAAUGCCGCGUGUGUGAAGAAGGCCUUCGGGUUGUAAAGCACUUUUGUCCGGAAAGAAAUCCUUGGCUCUAAUACAGUCGGGGGAUGACGGUACCGGAAGAAUAAGCACCGGCUAACUACGUGCCAGCAGCCGCGGUAAUACGUAGGGUGCAAGCGUUAAUCGGAAUUACUGGGCGUAAAGCGUGCGCAGGCGGUUUGCUAAGACCGAUGUGAAAUCCCCGGGCUCAACCUGGGAACUGCAUUGGUGACUGGCAGGCUAGAGUAUGGCAGAGGGGGGUAGAAUUCCACGUGUAGCAGUGAAAUGCGUAGAGAUGUGGAGGAAUACCGAUGGCGAAGGCAGCCCCCUGGGCCAAUACUGACGCUCAUGCACGAAAAGCGUGGGGAGCAAAACAGGAUUAGAUACCCUGGUAGUCCACGCCCUAAAACGAUGUCAACUAGUUGUUGGGGAUUCAUUUCCUUAGUAACGUAGCUAACGCGUGAAGUUGACCGCCUGGGGAGUACGGUCGCAAGAUUAAAACUCAAAGGAAUUGACGGGGUCAUA
rnacentral:rRNA from 1 species